rnacentral:rRNA from 1 species
CAGCAGGCGCGAAAUCUUUACAAUGCGGGAAACCGCGAUAAGGGGACACCGAGUGCCAGCAUUUAUGUUGGCUGUCCACAUGUGUAAACGGCAUGUGUUAGCAAGGGCCGGGCAAGACCGGUGCCAGCCGCCGCGGUAACACCGGCGGCCCGAGUGGUAAUCACUUUUAUUGGGUCUAAAGGGUCCGUAGCCGGUUUGAUCAGUUCUUCGGGAAAUCUGACAGCUCAACUGUUAGGCUUCCGGGGAAUACU